rnacentral:snRNA from 1 species
AUGCUCACUUCAGCAGCACAUAUGCUAAAAUUGGAAUGAUACAGAGAAGAUCAGCAUGGCAAGGAUGACACAAAUUUGUGAAGCGUUCCAUAUUUUU